rnacentral:tRNA from 1 species
GCAGCUGUUGCCUAGCCUGGUACGGCGCUGGCUUGGAGAGCCAGUGUGCAAUGCACUCAUGGGUUCGAAUCCCAUCAGCUGCG